UUAUGAAAAAAGUUUGUAUACACUUAGCACAUCUAGUAAUUCAAAUAGUACCAAAUUUUCAACUAUAGAUGUUACACUAAUUGCAUGAACUAGCCAAAAUUGCUAGCCCUAAUUAUAUUAUAUAAAACCCAAAUCACCAAUAUAAACCCUGAUUUUGAACAACAGUUGCUAAGUCUUUAAAAACCCUCCAAAAACAAUCCUUAUGCCUUUAAAAAGAACUUCAAGCUAAUUGUCAAAUUCUAUCCUUCGAUCUUCAAAUAAAAUCCUAUUUUGCCCUAAGCUGUCGUUUUAGUGGCCAGAGGUCUGAUUUUGACCAUGUCUCACAAACGGUCGACCCUCGGGUAUCAAUCUAUC
rnacentral:lncRNA from 1 species